rnacentral:rRNA from 1 species
CCUACGGGAGGCAGCAGUGGGGAAUAUUGCGCAAUGGGCGCAAGCCUGACGCAGCGACGCCGCGUGAGGGAUGAAGGUCUUCGGAUCGUAAACCUCUGUCAGCAGGGAAGAACGGUCACUGUGCUAAUCAGCAGUGAAUUGACGGUACCUGCAAAGGAAGCACCGGCUAACUCCGUGCCAGCAGCCGCGGUAAUACGGAGGGUGCGAGCGUUAAUCGGAAUUACUGGGCGUAAAGCGCGCGUAGGCGGUAUGUCAAGUCAAGGGUGAAAUCCCCGCGCUCAACGUGGGAACUGCCUUUGAAACUGGCAAACUUGAGGGUGGUAGAGGAGAGUGGAAUUCCAGGUGUAGCGGUGAAAUGCGUAGAGAUCUGGAGGAACACCGGUGGCGAAGGCGACUAUCUGGCACAUAACUGACGCUGAGGAGCGAAAGCGUGGGUAGCAAACAGGAUUAGAUACCCCAGUAGUC